GUGCCAGCAGCCGCGGUAAUACGUAGGGGGCGAGCGUUGUCCGGAAUUAUUGGGCGUAAAGGGCGCGUAGGCGGAUUUUUAAGUCCGGUGUGAAAGAUCAGGGCUCAACCCUGAGAGUGCAUCGGAAACUGGGGAUCUUGAGGACAGGAGAGGAAAGUGGAAUUCCACGUGUAGCGGUGAAAUGCGUAGAUAUGUGGAGGAACACCGGUGGCGAAGGCGACUUUCUGGACUGUAACUGACGCUGAGGCGCGAAAGCGUGGGGAGCAAACAGGAUUAGAUACCCUGGUAGUCCACGCCGUAAACGAUGAGUGCUAGGUGUAGAGGGUAUCGACCCCUUCUGUGCCGCAGUUAACACAAUAAGCACUCCGCCUGGGGAGUACGGCCGCAAGGCUAAAACUCAAAUAAAUUGACGG
rnacentral:rRNA from 1 species